rnacentral:lncRNA from 10 species
AACCACGCGUACAAGCUACUCAACCCUGCCCUCCAGCCAGAAUUGACUGCACAAAGACGGGCACCUGACUGGUUGAGGUGAUCAGAUUCUCUGUCUUGAGAAUGUGACAGAAUUGCCUGGCUCUGCGGUUGCUGAGAGGCCAUCUUGACCCAGGAGUGGGGACACAGCAAAAGCUGGAGUGCAGCACUGGAAACGGAGGGAGAGUCCCUGGAGCCACAUGUUGGCCCUUGGGUCCAGCUGUGCUGGAAGCUGGCACUUGUCCUGAUGUUUUCAAUUAAGUGACCAAAAAUAAAAGUUGAUUCUCCUCAUGCUUCAACCAAAUUUAGUUGGGUUUCUGCAACAGCAGAAACACUCCUGACUGAUACUUCUUAUGGUGAAUUUCCCCUUUUUUUUCUUUCUUUUUUCCUCUUUUUUUUUUUUUUUUUUUUUUUUUUUGAGACAGGGUCUCAUUCUGUUACCCAGGCUGGAGAACAGAGAACAGUGGCACAAUCAUGGCUCACUGAAGCCUCAAACUCCCUGGGCUCAGGUGAUCCUCCCACCUCAGCCUCCCAGUAGCUAGGACUACAGGCACUCACCACCACACCCA